CCAAAUCGAGGUUAGGGCUUUUAUUUUUUCUGCUUCCCUUCUUCUCUUGCACCGCAUUCAUCCCUAUCCAGCAAGCAACAGGGCCUCCGAUCCCAAAUCCCAAUCCUCCUCUUGCUCGGACAUGAUCCCAAUCCUCCUCUUCCUUGACCUCCUCCCGGCAGUAGCGGCAGCGGCGGCCUCCGCCUCCCCCAAUAUCCCCAACAGUGGGUUUCAAGCAUCCACGAGUCAACGGGAAGCACAGGACCGUGAGCUCCCCAGCAUGGAGGAGCAUGAGACGGAGUGUGGCGGUUCCUCUAUAAAUCCCUCCCCUCCUCCCCUCUAUCUGAAUCGCCCGAGUCGCCCUUAACCUUGAUUGGUCAUCAGGAGAAACCCCUUGGAUUUCCUCUAAUCUUCCAUUGAUUGUGCUUAUAAUUCAUCACCGAUUCUUCGUUGGAGUGAAGGUAAGAGGCGAGAGGCCCUCAUCUAUCUUCCAUCUUCUUCGGAUCUCGUUGCCUCUGUUAUUGACCAAAUUCCCAUCAGAGGGCAGAGCAUGCCUGCUCCCAGGUAUCAGCGACAAGAGCAGUCGGGCGAAGAUGCAGUCAGAGCACGGCGAGGGCGGAGAGGAAUGGAGAUGUGGAGAGGGCAAAGAUGAGGCGGUCGGGUGGAGCCGUGAGCAG
rnacentral:lncRNA from 1 species